GUGGUUCUCAACCUCUUUAGUGUCUCUGCAGUGUUUGAGCCUUUUACUGAAUGAGUGAUUAAAGCUGUUAUUUUCUCCAAGAGGGAAGCCAAAGCCUUAGGCUGCGACAUGGUCUUUACUCAGCAUCUUUUGCUGGGUUUGAUCGCUGAGGACGAUGGAAAUGGCUUUCUUGGAUCAGGCAUGACCAUGGACCAAGCCCGUAAUACCGUUCGCACUAUCUGGCGUCACCAAAUUCCUCUGCAAUCAGAUCCCAGUUUCAGUUCUUCUGUUCAAAUCCCCUUUUCCAUUAGCACCAAACGCGUUCUUGAGGCUGUCGUUGACUAUUCCAGAGCGAGGGGUCACAAUUUCAUUGCCCCCUGAGCACAUCGCCAUCGCCCUGUUUACUUCCGAUGAUGGCAGCGCUGCUCGGGUCCUCCAGAGGUUUACUUAUCAACUUUUCUAUGCUCAAGAUUUGAUAUUCUUCUUGCGGCAUUUUCUUUUAUUUUUCUUCAAUUGAUUUUGGUUUAAAACAAUAGUUCAACCUAAUAAAUUAUAUUGGUAUUAGUUAUUUUGAUAUGAAAAUUCUUUUGUCUAAUUUCCAAGAGUAUAUUUGCAUGCUCUUUGGCUAGACAAUGAGUUUUGUUGGCUAAAGAAAAUCCCUCCCCCAAGUUGUACUCCCUAUAUUAUGCAUUCUGAAUAAAAUAAAUUUAUUCCCCACAACAAAAAA